GUGCCAGCCGCCGCGGUAAUACGGAGGGUGCAAGCAUUGAUCGGAAUUACUGGGCGUAAAGGGCGCGCAGGCGGUCAGGAAAGUCAGAUGUGAAAUUCCGGGGCUCAACCCCGGAGCUGCAUUUGAAACUUCCUAUCUAGAGUUCAGUUAGGGAAAACGGAAUUCCACGUGUAGCGGUGAAAUGCGUAGAUAUGUGGAAGAACACCAGUGGUGAAGACGGUUUUCUGGGCUGAUACUGACGCUGAGGCGCGAAAGCAAGGGGAGCAAACAGGAUUAGAUACCCUGGUAGUCCUUGCCUUAAACGAUGCAUACUAGGUGUAGGGGGGCUCAACCCUUUCUGUACCGGAGCUAACGCAUUAAGUAUGCCGCCUGGGGAGUACGCUCGCAAGGGUGAA
rnacentral:rRNA from 1 species